GGCCACUGUAUUCUGUCUAAGGGUCUCAGUCUGAAAAUGGACAGGGGUCAUAGUCGUUCCUCCAGGGCUCACAGACUGAUGACUCACAGGGGUCAGGGUCUUCUGUCCAGUGGUCACAGAUUGAUGACCCACAGGGGUCAGGGCCUUCUCUCCAGGGGUCAUGGACUGAUGACCCACAGAAGUCAUGGUCAUUGCCCCAGUGAUCUCAGUCUUCUCUCCUAGAGCUACAGUGUGCUUUCCAAGGGAUACAGUUUCCUUUGUAGGGGUCACAGUUGUACCUCUAGGGGUUAUAGUCAUAUUUUCACACUUUCCGUGGAUCUCAGUGACCCCAGCCUCUCCUCCUGGGGGCAAAAUCUUACUAUCAGUGGUCCAUGCCGUGGUCACAGCCAGCCUUUCAGGGUCAGUGCUUGAAGAAUUCACAGCAGAUGACAGCCAAAAUUGUGGUAAAGAAGUUGAACUGAACUCUAGAGAAAAUCAACAGAAAAGAAUGAGAUUCCUACCACUUCAUUCUCAUCCUAUUAAUUACUGGCAGAACUAGAACCAAUCCAGGGCUGAAGUACCUGCUCCAAAAAUUCAGAAGUGUAAGAUUUCAUACUAUACCUACUUGAGGACAUAGAUGAAAUCCCACCACAUAGAAGCCUUGCUCCAGACCCCGCCAUGUUCACAGGUCCCAGACACCCACAGGCACUCAGUGGAUUUGCUACAUUUUCCAUGAAUGACCUCAGAAAGGAGCCCACCCAUUCCUUGUGCUUAAGCCCUCACUUUGACAUCUCUGAUUGCAUCAUCAGCAAAACCUUGCCUCGAGGCCUAAUUCUAAAUAAUUACUUGAUGAAUGCUCAAGGAGAAGCUUCUUAUGUCUCUAUGUUGUAGGAGGCACCAGGAACAAAGCCAGAGGCAAGGAGGCUAGGGACAGCAUGCUGUGAACAAUGGGACUGGGGCCCACCUAAAGACUUGACCUGACUGAGCUCCAGUCGCAUUACCCAUAAAAUGAAGAUUAUAAACCAUCCGUAAGGAUGCUUCACCUCUUGCAUGCUAGCUUCCAUUUCCUAAUUGCCAGGGUAGCCUCUACUAUCAAAAAGAGAUAUCAAAAGAAACCUAAUUCCCUCAGCCCUUGCCCAUGAGAGUAAGAGAAAGAGAGAAAUAAAUAACAUAUAUUGAGUGCUAACUAUGAGAAUUUUCAUUCCAUAGCUCACUUAGUUCUUAUAAUAAUGUCAUGAGUAUACAGAUUAUUCCCAUUUUAAAUAGAACAAAGGAAGCUCAAAGAGGUCAAAUAAGGGCCAAGUAUCCCAACAAAGACUGGAAAACAUAUUGGCCUGGCAAAGCUUUUUCUCUCCCCUCAAUGUCAUGUUGCCUCACCAAGGCAUUUAGAUCUAGCAGAAGGGCCUUACCCAGUGCUUGGUUAUGCAACUUCCAACCCCAGCUUCUAGGUCACAGCUACUUACCAGCCCGCACCAGGAUAUCAUUCAAUACGUAGACAAGGGGGAAAGGGCCAGUGCCACAGAACGUGCCCCUGACGUCAUCCAUGUCCAAUGUCCACACCAUGGCCCCCCCAAAAUGCUCUCGCCUUAUAAACCAUGCCUGUAAAAGUAACAGUCAGUCAACCUGCUGUACUUGUCAGUCUCUAGACUGGGUACAAUGGCAAAAAACUGAAGAUAGUCCCUCAGGAAGCAAUGUAGCUGGGUGGUUAGGAGUGUAGCCAGCAUUUGAAUCUAGCUUUUACUGUUUAUUAGCUAUGGGAUCCUGAAGAAGUUAUGUAACCCUUAUGUGUCUUAACUGCCUCAUUUGUGAAAAAAAAAAAAGAGGAUAAUAACAUGUCCAACAUGUUUAGACCCAAAAGAUUCUUACAUGCACAUAUUACAUACGAUAUGGAUGAAGCGUGAAGACACUAUGCUAAGUGAAAUAAGCCAGGCACAAAAUAAGAAACACUGUAUGACUCCAUUUAUGUGUGGUACCUAGAGUAGUCAAAUUCACAGAAACAGAAAAUAGAAUGGUGGUUGCCAGGGGACGUGGGAAGGAGGAAGGGGAAGUUACUGUUUAAUGGGCACAGGGUUUCCAUUCGAGAAGAUGAAAAAGUUCUGGAGAUGGAUGGUGGUGAUAAUUGCACAACAACAUGAAUGUAUUUAAUGCAACUGAAUUUCAGACUUUAAAAUGGUUAAAAUGGUAAAUCUUAUGUUUUAUGUUACAUAGGAAUGCUACAUAAGUUUUCCUAAAGAGUUCCCAUGCAUAAGAUAUUUGGAUCAAUACCUGGCACAUAGUGAAUCUUCAAUAAAAGUUAGCUACUAACCCUCUGGGUUCCCCACCUCAUUAAUCACCAUUAUUAUCCUAUUAAACUGUAGAUAUUGCUCUACUGUUUAAAAUUCAUUUCCUUAUCUCACCGUGAUGCUAUAAAAUACAGUAGAGCACAAAAUAUUAUAUGCUUCUCACAGAUGAGAAAAUAAAGGCUUUCAUCCACACUUUUUAAAACCUCCACUACAACUAAAUGGCAGAGCUUAGAUUCAAGUCCAGGUUUUAUUAUUACCUUGCCAGUGCUCUCUGUCAAGUCUGAUGGAAAAGACAGAAUCUAUCAGGUCCAAAUAGCUGUGUGCCUUAGCCAAGUCAAUUGGCUCCUUUCAGGAGUUGACUUUCCCCAAAUGUAAAAUAAGAGGAAGGAGGAAUCCAAUCAUUAAGUCUGAAACUGUGAAGUUUCUGAGACUUUUAUGCUACUUACAAGCUAAGAAAUUAGUCUGCCAGUUUUGUGUGUAUACACACACACACACACAUGCACACACACACACAUACUCACAUACCCCAACACCCCAGACCUCUGGAUCAGAGGACAGAAUAUUUAUUACUCACAGAAAAAAAACAAAACAAAAUAGCCAGAAUAGCACCUUGAGUCAGUUUCCAUGUCCCAAGGACAAUGUGAUGAAGGUCAGAUGUUCAAUUCACCUGCAUAUGCAGUGGGGUCUGCGCUACAGAGAAGAACUCUGAAAUUAUGAGACUCAGAGCUUAUAUAGAAUGGUUGACAUAUGUGGCCCUCCUCCCUUCCAGAGAGAGGAGAGAACCUGGAAUGUAAACAAGUCCUCCCUGGGAAGGGGACUUUCACAAUCAUUGAAGGUAAACAAAUGGCUCUGGGGGAAAGAGGAAAGCAGCUCUCUAUUUUUAGUAAAGCUUGUCUGCUUCCUUUGCCCAGAAUCCUCAAACUGUGCAGGAACUCUGAGAAAUCCAGGGUAUAAUUAUCUCCCAACAAUAAUCCCCAAGGUCUCUUUUAGCUCUGAUAUUCUAUGUCAAAAUCCCUUAACCAUCCCCAACCUGGCUUCAUGUCUCCUCACCUAGUUCUGCAAGUUACAGUAACUGCACCUCAAAGCAAGACCACCCUCUGCUGCUCAUCCCAGGGCCUCACCCAACACAAGGGAUCAAUCCCCUCUCUGAUGUCCUAUGGGUCAUAGACUUAACUCCAUCCAAUUGGGUAAAUCCAUUGAGUCAUUAAUCUUUCCUGUUUGUGUCUUCCCAUUCCCAAACCACAGAGCAAGAUCCCAGAGGGGAGAAGCCAUGCUUUUUUAUCUCUCUCCGCCCCAGCAGGCCUCACCCAGUGUUAAUGCACAGAGGAGCUACGCAGUGAAUCUUCAUGAGUGCCUUCCUCUCUGGUGCUUCCCACACAAACUUCCCCCAAAAAACAGCCGACACCUGCCAUUUCUGCAUCACCGUUAACAGGAGAACUGUGAAUUCUCUCUAUUUAAGUCUCAAUAUCCAAGCAGUUGCCACAUUCCGACAAUUUCUCACCUUUAAACUGCUGCUCCUUCCAACUACCCUAGUCCAGACCCUCAUUAUCUCAUGCUUGGACACCUCUGUGUCCACGCCCAGAGCUCCCAAAAUGCCAACUUAGCAUUUGGAAGGAUCAUAUAUGGAGGCAUUCUAAAAUAGUUUCCAAAGUUUUUCUAAGACCUACUGAAUAUUGAGGAGUGGAACCAUGAUUUCUACAUGUAUCCAGUCUCUCAGGUGAUUCCAAAACAGAGGCAGGUUUAGGAACUACUGGAGCAUGUCAGUUCUCUUUUAGUUCACUAUAAAAACCUGCCAGAUUCAACUUCAUAAAAUACCACUUACAUGAAGGGAGGGUGGUGGUCAUAGUUUGGCUCUAAAAGUUUGAAAAUUAAAGGUCAUCCACCUGUAGAAACCUGUUUUUGCCUUAAAAUGCCCACAGGAUGAAGACUGAACACCUUUACCAGCAUUCAAGUCCCUUUAUAAAAAGCCUCUGCUUCACCCAAAUUCUUCUUUGAACCUGCUAUAAGCUUUCUACACCACUGAGCCUUUCCCCAAUGUCAUAAUCUUCUCCUACUCCUGCUCACCUCCCUCAGGAAGCCCUCCCAGACUUCCUCAUUUCUGCUACAUGUCAGUAAUAUUUACAGAGCACUUACCAUGAUCUACUUUGUGUUGGUAUUUAUCUGUUAUGAAAUUAGCUGGUCCAAAUGGAAAGGAAGAGACCAAAAAGAUCAUCGAAAAGCUGUAAGAACUGAGGGAACUAUUUAUUCCCUCAGAACCUAGAUUCUUUCUCUUCAGAAUAGAGACUUGGAACAGAUGGGAUUAUAAAGCCCCAGUUAGAACUAAAAUGUAGGCAUGCCUGAAACCCCUGGUCUAAUCAUCCUCACCUUUCACUCUCCACCCAAUACACAUACAUGCAUUGUACAAAUAAGGACCCCAUAGAAACCGGUAGGAAACCAUGUGCUGGAGCAUGAAAGAGCCAGGGUCUCACCUUGUAACUGAAGCUGAUGGCAUUGUCAUAGCCAACCCACUCUUUCCCCUUGUUGGCAUACGGGACAUACUGGUAAUCAAUCCAGUGCUUCUUCGCUCCCCAGACAAAGGAACAAAUCU